UGACAAAUACGAACGUUUCCGAGGAAAUAUGAUGGAGAACAAUUUUGCUAUACAUCUGUAUUGACUUAUUUUAUACAAAGUAUUCUUAAUGGAAUGAAGUAUGGAAACAAUCACACAGCUGGUUUCGUGAAAGCUUUUAAUUGUUACUUAUACAAUAACAAGCGGAUAUCUCUUUCUAAUAAAAGGAGUUAAAAAGAGACGUCCGCUUGUAUUGAAGAAACGAGCCCAGCGUAAGUUCAGAUAUAAAGUAACGAAGCAAGAAGCAUUUUAUACAUUCCUCCUGUUCCUAAUCUCUAUCACACGCAAAUAAUUAUAAUGCUGUCCCGCUCGCACAGUGUCAUUAACCGCCGGCGGACAGCAAUAUAAUUUAUUCGAGAUAGAGAUAGGAGCAGGCGGGUCAAUGUACGAUAUGCUUCGUGCUUAGCGUCCUUACUUUAGAGACUCCAAUGAUCUGCAUAUAAAUUAAAUGUGAUAUUUUGUAAGAAUAUAAUUAUGUCAAGUGUAAUGGAAAUGGAAAUACAUAUUAUUGAUGUAAAUAAUUUUGUGUGCCGUGCGUUGAGAAAUUAAAGAAUUUUAUGGAAA